UACGUAGGGGGCAAGCGUUGUCCGGAUUUAUUGGGCGUAAAGAGCGUGUAGGCGGCCAGAAAAGUCCGCUGUGAAAACUCGAGGCUCAACUUCGAGCUGUCGGUGGAAACUUUCUGGCUAGAGUCCGGAAGAGGAGAAUGGAAUUCCUGGAGUAGCGGUGAAAUGCGCAGAUAUCAGGAAGAAUACCCGUGGCGAAGGCGGUUCUCUGGGACGGUACUGACGCUGAGACGCGAAAGCGUGGGGAGCGAACAGG
rnacentral:rRNA from 1 species